UACGUAGGGUGCGAGCGUUAAUCGGAAUUACUGGGCGUAAGCGCGCGCAGGCGGUUUUGUAAGCCAGAUGUGAAAUCCCGGGCUUAACCUGGGAAUGGCAUUUGGGACUGCAAGGCUCGAGUGCGGCAGAGGAGACUGGAAUUCCUGGUGUAGCAGUGAAAUGCGUAGAUAUCAGGAGGAACACCGAUGGCGAAGGCAGGUCUCUGGGCUGACACUGACGCUCAUGCACGAAAGCGUGGGGAGCAAACAGG
rnacentral:rRNA from 1 species